GGGACAAUGUCGCUGUGAGAAUGGGAUUACAGAAGGGGUAGGAAAAUGAGGUUUAGCAACAAUAUGGGAGAAGCAUAAAAACAGACCACUUGACAGUAGCCUAAUGUAUGUCGUCAGGGCAAAAGGUCACCAAAAAGCUUACGAACUGUCUGGUGAUGUUAUUAGAAGUCAAAUGUCUACAGUGAGGAAGGUGACAGCCCCUUUCUGCUCAGCUUUGCUCUUAUAUUUCUGGGGGUUCUGUGUUCAGUUCUGGGCCCUACACUUUCAGAAAAACAUUGGAAACCUGGACCAUGACACCAGGAAACAUGGCCACCGGGACUCAGGAUGGGGAGAUGUUUGGAAACCGCAUCCUGGCCGCUCAUCUGUUUGCACCAUGACUGUGUUUCGAGACUUUCCUCUGAGCCACGUCGUGCUAGGAGCUGGAAACACAAAUAUGAGCCACCCCAGGCCCCCGUCCUUGGGGUAAGGACAGUGGAAAGAACUGGAUGUCUGCAUAUCCCCGAGGGGCCAUCCUGGGCCAGAAGGAUGGAGUCUGUGGGUUUGCUCUCAGCCCAAGAAAAAUAUUGCCCCUGGAAUCUCCAGACGAUGGCAUGGGCUGCGGAAUCAUCCGGCGUCCAUGGCCACAAACACGCUGAAGAAUCUUCAAGAGGAUAAGAAGCCAGGAUUUGAGGAUCACAGCCAGAAAAAAAAAAGCCCCAAAUUAGGCCAAAGCCCCAGCCUGAGGGAGACUUCACUGGUCACACCGUGGGGCCCCAAGGCCAGAGCUCAAUGCUGACACCGAGGGACAUUGACACCCAGACCUUCGUCCCUGCUGCCUUGGGACACUCGUGUAGAGGCUGCCACACUCCAGCCAGGACGGCACAGGGCUAGCCACACAACACCCCUGGCUGCAGAGCAAGUGGGGCCAGUAUGGACUCUGCUAGUGGGAGGAGGGGGACUCAUGCGACAAGGGUGUUGGAAGGCACUGGGCAGCUAAAAGGAGAGUCCCCUGUGCACUGUGGCCACCAAGGAUCAGGGGCUUCUGGAGCACGCGGCUCUGUGCUCAGCACUUUACAGGGACCGUGUCUGUUGAUCAUCUCAGCUCUCUGGAGUGCGUGCUGUGCUUAUCAAUCCCCAUUUUACAGAUGAGAAAAGGGAGGCUCGGAGGACCUGAGUCGUUUGCCCUGAGCUUCUAACCGCUCCCCAGAGCUGGGCCCGGUAGGGCAGGGGGACUCACCAUGUGCUUGGAAGCUGAUCCAGGCAUCUGAGCUCUAGGUACCACUGGUCCUGGGACCUCUAGGAUUCCAGACCAACCUGCCACAGUGAUGCUAGAAGUGAUACCCCGUCUCCCAACCAAGCACCUGCUGCUCUCUGGACUCUGCGCAGAAGCCAUCUCAGAGAGCUCUUCCUGGACCAAACAGCCCCUACCCCUCUACCUUUGCCCGAGUCACUUGUCUUCCCAGUGCUUUGUGUGACAGGACCUGGCACAUCUUCCUACUUGUCUGUGAUCUGUCGGCACAGAGGGAUGUGAGCCGCAUGAGGGCAGGUCUUGGUCUGGCUCCCUGUUGGGUCUCAGCCCUUAGCACAGUGCCUGGCACAUAGCAGGGGCUCAGGAAGUCUCUGCAGACCUACUGGCUGUAAGCCUUUGGGCAAUUUCUUAACCUCUCUGUGCCAGUGUCCUCCUUUAUAAAAUGGGCAUAAUCCUUCACUCUGUCUCCAAAUGUGGUUGUGAGGACUCCACAAAUUCAUGCGGUAUCACAGCCAAGCGGACCUUUUAAUGAGCCCCUUCCGUGCACCAGGCCAGCGGGGUUUCACUGCAGGACCUUGACCGUUAGGGAAUCAGAGAGGAGAGGCUCCCUGGGGCUGGAAGUGCCAAGAGGUGCCCUGGAAGACGGCGGACUCGGAGUUAACAAUGGCUGAUGUUACUGAGCACUGACUGCGUUCAAACCAGCGUCCUAAACACCUCACCCAUUUCCCACCUGCGCCAGGAGGAGGCCUGGAUAAAACACGCUGGAGAACCAGGGCAGAGUAAGUGAUGCUUCCCAGAGAAAGAGCCCCAUCGGCGUGGACCGGAUGCAUUUGCAGCCACUCUCCUCCUUGGAAUUCAUACAGAAUUCCAUUAUCGGUUCUGGACAGCAGCUCAGGGACCAUCUUGUCCCAUGCCCAUUUGACAGAUGAGAAAGCUGGAGCCCAGCAGGGGAGCAGAGGGAGCCGAGCCAGGGCUAGAAUCAGGCUCCUGACUCCCAGAGCAGUGCUCCUUCCUAACACCAUGGAGUGAAUCCUGCAAGUAUGAUGCCCCAUCCUCUCUUUACAAAUGUGCAGAGGGAGGUUCAGGGCAGCCCUGCCAGCCACCUAGGGUCACAUAGCACCAAGAUUCACACCAAGACACUGGUAGCUACCCUCCUUCGUGAUGGGCAGGGCAGGGUUGACAUCUGGAGGACACUCGAGCAGUCUAGGAAGGGCAGAGAGGGCUGAGUCUGCAGCCUCCACCAGCUACACGCAUUAUGCCAAGCCUAGGGCUCCUGAGGGAGGCGGGCAGUGGGCCACAAGAAUAUGGGACACUCCCUAGGGCCUCUGUGCAGCAACCAUGUGGCCUUGAGCCAGUCAUUUCACCCUCAUUCGUAGAACAGGCCAAUAACAGAGCCUUCUCCCAUGAGGCCAUGCUGAGGCUUAGAUGGGUGAAGACAAGUAAAUAAAAACAGUCCAUCUUUAGGGGCCAGCCCGGUGGCAUAGUGGUUAAGUUCAUGAGCUCUGCUUCAGCAGCCUAGGUUCCUGGAUUCAGAUCCUGGGUGCAGAUUUACACCCCUCAUCAGCCACGCUAUAGUGGUGACCCACAUACAAAACAGAGGAAGAUUUGCACAGAUGUUAGCUCAGCUACAAUCUUCCUGAAGCAAAAAGAGAAAGAUUGGCAACAGAUGUUAGCUCAGGGCCAAUCUUCCCCCCACCCCACACAAAAACAGUUGACCUUUAUCAAGUCAAGCCACUGUGUGUCAGGCACUGCUCUAAGCAUUUACAGGUAAUUAUCAUCUAAUCAUCACCCCAACCUAUUAACAUCCCCAUUUCACAGAUGAGGACACAGAGGCACAGAGAAUCACACAGCUGGGAAAUGGCAGAGCACGGACUUGAACUGAAAACAGGCUGACCCUAAAUCUAUCUAUCUGAGCCCCUGGCAAGGCCAGCUCUGUGAAGGGUAAGUGUUCAGGACAGUGCCAGGCACACGGAGCUGCUCAGUAAUGCUGCUGUUGAUACAAUAAUAAUUGCUGUUGUCAUUGGGGAAGUUUGUCACCGGUAAUGCUAUCAUCCCCAAAGUCAGAAGAAUAAACCUCC
ensembl:lncRNA